UUACGGCCAUAUCACCUUGAAGCACUGGUUCUAAUCCGAUCCCCGAAGUUAAGCAACGUUGAAUCUGGACAGUACCUAGAUGGGUGACCGCU